AACACCUUCGGGUGUGAAUUAGCGGCGAACGGGUGAGGAACACGUGAAGAAUCUGCCUUCAACUCUGGGAUAACUCCGGGAAACCGGGGCUAAUACCGGAUAUGAGCCUUGAUCGCAUGAUCGGGGCUGGAAAGUUUUUCGGUUGAAGAUGACUUCGCGGCCUAUCAGCUUGUUGGUGAGGUAAUGGCUCACCAAGGCGACGACGGGUAGCCGGCCUGAGAGGGCGACCGGCCACACUGGGACUGAGACACGGCCCAGACUCCUACGGGAGGCAGCAGUGGGGAAUAUUGGGCAAUGGAGGAAACUCUGACCCAGCGACGCCGCGUGAGGGAUGAAGGCCUUCGGGUUGUAAACCUCUUUCAGUAGGGAAGAAGGGAAAGUGACGGUACCUACAGAAGAAGCACCGGCUAACUAUGUGCCAGCAGCCGCGGUAAUACAUAGGGUGCAAGCGUUGUCCGGAAUUAUUGGGCGUAAAGAGCUCGUAGGUGGUUCGAUACGUCGGAUGUGAAAAUCAGGGGCUCAACCCCUGACCUGCAUCCGAUACGGUCGAGCUAGAGUUUGGUAGGGGAGACUGGAAUUCCUGGUGUAGCGGUGGAAUGCGCAGAUAUCAGGAGGAACACCGAUGGCGAAGGCAGGUCUCUGGGCCAAUACUGACACUGAGGAGCGAAAGCGUGGGGAGCGAACAGGAUUAGAUACCCUGGUAGUCCACGCCGUAAACGGUGGGCGCUAGUUGUGCGAACCUUCCACGGUUUGUGCGACGCAGCUAACGCAUUAAGCGCCCCGCCUGGGGAGUACGAUCGCAAGAUU
rnacentral:rRNA from 1 species